rnacentral:rRNA from 1 species
UACGUAGGGUGCAAGCGUUGUCCGGAAUUAUUGGGCGUAAAGAGCUCGUAGGCGGUUCGUCGCGUCGGCUGUGAAAACCUGAGGCUCAACCUCAGGCCUGCAGUCGAUACGGGCGGACUUGAGUACUGCAGGGGAGACUGGAAUUCCUGGUGUAGCGGUGAAAUGCGCAGAUAUCAGGAGGAACACCGGUGGCGAAGGCGGGUCUCUGGGCAGUAACUGACGCUGAGGAGCGAAAGCGGGGGGAGCGAACAGG